CCCUGAAAACCCCCAGCCACAUAGUGCCAACCUGAAGAGGCAUGGGGGGGUGAGACUCAUCAGUCUCCAGGCCAGAGCACUGAAGAUCUGGAUCAGUGGGCAAAGGAGGUGGUGAGCACAUGUCAGGUUGAGCUGCCUUCUGGUUAGGACAGCUAGAUGAAUCAGCACCCAUUAUGUUCUUAGCCUCUGACCAUCAAACAGGAGAAGAAUCGAGACUGCUCCUUUAUCAACAUAACUAGCUUCCGCAAGUUCAAUUCUCAGCGUAAGUGGAAGCUCUCCUGCUACAUGAUCACCCCCUGUAGUCACUUUUGCAGAAUGAAUAUGCUCUAUUACCAAAC
rnacentral:lncRNA from 1 species